rnacentral:rRNA from 1 species
ACUCCUACGGGAGGCAGCAGUGGGGAAUUUUGGACAAUGGGGGCAACCCUGAUCCAGCCAUGCCGCGUGCGGGAAGAAGGCCUUCGGGUUGUAAACCGCUUUUGUCAGGGAAGAAAAGCUUCGAGCUAAUACCUCGAGGUCAUGACGGUACCUGAAGAAUAAGCACCGGCUAACUACGUGCCAGCAGCCGCGGUAAUAC